GCAAAACAGAAAAAGAGGAUCUUUGCUCUUUACCAGACAUCAGUAUAUGCAAAUAAUAGCCUAUUGGUGUUAUUCUGUCUUAUCUACACACCAAAAUAGCUGUCUAUCUAUAGUUUUAUGCCUAAAAUAAACUAUUAUCAUUCAUUGGGACGAUAUCGCACAAGAUUCGGGAGGGUUGUAGCUUGAAGUUUCUUGAUUUCAGAUGCGGUCACCCCACAAUAUUCUAGGUAUAGCGAGCGCAAAUUCUUGAGAGGCUUCAGGUGCUGCAAACCAUCACUGGUAAUUCUAGAGUUUGAGACAUUCAAAGAAACCAAUGAUGUCAAUCCUGAUAGAAGCUCCAAGGCUAUAUCUGAUAGCUUUAAGUUCUGUGACAGGUUUAGCAACAUCAGAGAAGUAAGAUCCUUUAUGUUCUUCACCCCAGCAUCCGUCAACCGACCACCACAGAGGUCAAGAGAUUGGAGGUUUUUGAAAUAUGACAGAUAUUUUGUCCCGGAAUCUGUAAUCUGAGCACCAAAAAGAUCCAGAUGAGUCAAUCCAGUUAAACUGGUGAGAACUGCAAGUCCCGAGUCUGUAAUUUGACGAGCAUCAAGGUUAAGUGACCUCAGAGAAGUCAAUCCAGAUAACUCUUUCAAACCACUGUCAGUUACUGAGGUGAACGAGAGAUUGAGAUCCUCCAAAUUCGUCAACCCAGAGAGUUGAAG
rnacentral:misc_RNA from 1 species